AAGUCGUAACAAGGUUUCCGUAGGUGAACCUGCGGAAGGAUCAUUACAGAAUGAAAAGUGCUUAACUGCAUUUUUCUUACACAUGUGUUUUUCUUUUUUGAAAACUUUGCUUUGGUAGGCCUUCUAUAUGGGGCCUGCCAGAGAUUAAACUCAACCAAAUUUUAUUUAAUGUCAACCGAUUAUUUAAUAGUCAAAA
rnacentral:misc_RNA from 1 species